rnacentral:rRNA from 1 species
GUGCAGCAGGCGAGAAACCUUCACAAUGUGCGAAAGCGCGAUGAGGGGAUCCCAAGUGCUUGCUCGUAAGAGUAAGCUGUUUUUAUGUCUAAAAAGCAUAGAGAGUAAGGGCUGGGUAAGACGGGUGCCAGCCGCCGCGGUAAUACCUGCAGCUCAAGUAGUGACCGCUAUUAUUGGGCCUAAAACGUUCGUAGCCGGUUUGAUAAAUGCCUGGGUAAAUAGUGUAGCUUAACUAUACGAAUUCCGGGUAGACUGUUAAACUUGAGACCGGGAGAGGCUAGAGGUACUCCUGGGGUAGAGGUGAAAUUCUGUAAUCCUGAGGGGACCACCAGUGGCGAAGGCGUCUAGCUAGAACGGGUCUGACGGUGAGGAACGAAGCCCUGGGGCGCGAACCGGAUUAGAUACCCCGGUAGUCC